rnacentral:misc_RNA from 1 species
GAUGAAGAACGCAGCAAAAUGCGAUAAGUAAUGUGAAUUGCAGAAUUCAGUGAAUCAUCGAAUCUUUGAACGCACCUUGCGCCCUUUGGCUAUUCCAGAGGGCAUGCCUGUUUGAGUAUCAUGAACACCUCAACUCUCAUGGUUCUGCCAUGAUGAGCUUGGACUUUGGAGGUCUUGCUGGCCCCUGUGGUCAGCUCCUCUCAAAUGGAUCAGCUUGCCAGUGUUUGGUGGCAUCACAGGUGUGAUAACUAUCUACGCUUGUGGUUUUCCACCAGGUAACCUUCAGUGAUGGAGGUUCGCUGGAGCUCAUAAACGUCUCUCCUCAGCGAGGACAGCUUCUUGAACGUUUGAUCUCAAAUCAGGUAGGGCUACCCGCUGAACUUAAGCAUAUCAAUAAGCGGAGGA